rnacentral:lncRNA from 1 species
CUCUGUGACCCUCCCUAACGUCACCUCUGUGACCUCCCUAACGUCACCUCUGUGACUAUGUCUGCGUCCCAAAUGGAACAUUUUCCUCUAUAAAGGCCACAACUUUUGACCAGAGCCUUAUGGGUAAAUGCCAUUUGGGACGAUUCUCUUGUAUGUGUGCUUGUGACUGAUGGAUUGACUAGCAGAGACUGAGUCUGAGUACCACUGUCAGAUAAGUAUGUGUCAGAUAGUUACUGUGUUGAAUAGUGUAAUGUUCUGGUUACAUGUGUAACAUACAGGGUAUGUAGUGUCAGGUACUUGAUCAGAUGCUUAGCUAAGAAAGUGUGUGGGAUGCUACUGCCUCCACGUUGUUGUUGUUGUUGUUGAUGUUGUUGUUUUUAACCAAGUCGAACUGUUGCCAUGAUAUGCUAUUACUUGGUUACGCACCGGAAUCUGGCGUUUCUAUUGAAUUAUGCUCUUUUUCUAGAAAGGACCAUGACUGUUACCCUAGCAACCCAUCGAUGCUAUUUAGAGGGCGUUACAUGUAAUGAAAGAUUGAACGGUGUUGAGAAUAUGUUCAAAUUGAAGCAAUACAUCCUAGUAUUGUUGUUCUAUCAGCCAUAUUACCCUGCACUGUGACACCAGCUAGCCGAGGCAGCUCUGGAGGCUGUCCCCUGACCCCUGUCUCCUCCACUCUCCUGGAGGCUGACCCCUGACCCCUGUCUCCACUCUUCUGGAGGCUUACCCCUGUCUCCUGCACUCUCUUGGAGGCUGACCCCUGUCUCCUCCACUCUCCUGGAGGCUUACCCCUGUCUCCUCCACUCUCCUGGAGGCUGACCCCUGUCUCCUCCACUCUCCUGGAGGCUGACCCCUGUCUCCUCCACUCUCCUGGAGGCUGACCCCUGUCUCCUCCACUCUCCUGGAGGCUGACCCCUGAACCCUGUCUCCUCCACUCUUCUGAAGGCUUACCCCUGUCUCCUGCACUCUCCUGGAGGCUGACCCCUGACCUCUCCACUCUCCUGGAGGCUGACCCCUGUUUCCUCCAAUCUCCUUUAGGCUGACCCCUGUCUCCUCCACUCUCCUGGAGGCUGACCCCUGACCCCUCCACUCUCCUGGAUGGCUAACUCCUGACCCCCGUCUCCUCCACUCUCCUGGAGGCUGACUCCUGACCCCUGUCUCCUCCACUCUCCUGGAGGCUGACUCCUGACCCCUGUCUCCUCCACUCUCCUGGAGGCUGACUCCUGACCCCUGUCUCCUCCACUCUCCUGGAGGCUGAGCCCUGUCUCCUCCAAUCUCCUGGAGGCUGACCCCUGUCUCCUCCACUCUCCUGGAGGCUGACCCCUGUCUCCUCCAAUCUCCUGGAGGCUGACCCCUGUCUCCUCCACUCUCCUGGAGGCUGACCCCUCUCUCCUCCACUCUCCUGGAGGCUGACCCCUGACCCCUCCACUCUCCAGGACCAAGUAAAGCUUUAAGAGACAUCUCCUUUAGUGUAGUUCUAGUGUUGCUGCAGCCAGGCUUCCAGAAUUAGCGGCACAUUCCAAAUGACCUGAACAUUCCAGAUAUGAGCCUGGCGUUGUCCUCUGUCUGCCUCAAUAUCCCAGGUGGGGUUGUCAUACUGUAGGCGACAUAUAGAGAGAGAUAUGAGGUGAGAGAGUUGAUUGAUUCCAUGCUUUUGUAGUCUGAUUGUCAGUCUGUGUUUGACAGUUAAAGAACGAUUGGCUGAGUUUCUAUCCCUUUAUAAUGAAAAGGUCUUACUACCAUCUCUAACGAGGCUCAGCAGUUUUAGCCGAAUGCUUUCCAAAACAUCACAACGUGCCUGAACUUCUCUGUCUUUUUUUUUAUUACUAAAUGGAAUGUCAAUUGUUUCAAAUACCUUUUAAUCAUCAUGAACUUUUCCAUUGAGCUAACAAGCCUUUAUAAGUCAUUGUUUCCCCCAGUCUCAGUGAGUGUAGCGCUGAUGGACACUGUGUCUGCUGUUGGUGUGUUUUCAUGCCAUUUAGCAGAGGCUUUUAUUCAAACCACGAAGUGAUGUAUGCAUUCUUUAUGUGUGGAUGGUCACGGGAGUCAAACCCACUAUCCUGUUGUUGCAAGUGUCAUGCUCUACCAACUGACCUACAGAGGACCAGUGUAUUGUUAGGGAGUUUAGUCUGUAAGGGCAAAACCAGCUGGCUGACUGACCAGGGAGGAAUAAGAUGACCUUCUGUCUAACCUCUGACCUCUCCAACCCAGCUCUCCCACAGACAGGCUGACGUGUGUGUGUGUGUGUGUGUGUGUGUGUGUGUGUGUGUGUGUGUGUGUGUGUGUGUGUGUGUGUGUGUGUGUGUGUGUGUGUGUGUGUGUGUGUGUGUGUGUUCUCCAUCAACACAUCUUCCAACAGCCCUAACCAGUAGGAAAGCUCAAUAUUCACUUUAGUUUUGACCACAACUCUGUCACGCUUGCUCAAGUCACCCCUUAGUUAGCACUGAUCUAGGAUCAGCUUACACUCCCCAUAUCCAAACCUAAACCAUUAGUGGAGGGGGACUCUAAACAGACCGUAGCUCAGUGUCUGGGAGAAACUCCACUUUUCCCUGAACAUGUUGAUACUUUAGCAGGACUAGUAGUAACUAUGACUACAUCCUUUAGUAGCAGUGAGCCAAGCAGCUCUACAGCCAGGUGAGUUAGAGAGACAUCAUGUAGCUGUCUAUGCACUUUGACCUCUGGGAUAUCCAGAGGGUAGAAUAGCCAUAUUGAGGUCUCAGUGAUGCCCGGUUCAAUACACCAGCGAGACUCUGUGUGACUGACUGUUUCUCUGUAGAGAGACUGACUGCAUGGCAGUGACUGUUUCUCUGUAGAGACUGACUGCAUGGCAGCGACUGUUUCUCUGUAGAGAGACUGACUGCAUGGCAGUGACUGUUUCUCUGUAGAGACUGACUGCAUGGCAGUGACUGUUUCUCUGUAGAGACUGACUGCAUGGCAGUGACUGUUUCUCUGUAGAGACUGACUGCAUGGCAGUGACUGUUUCUCUGUAGAGACUGACUGCAUGGCAGUGACUGUUUCUCUGUAGAGACUGACUGCAUGGCAGUGACUGUUUCUCUGUAGAGACUGACUGCAUGGCAGUGACUGUUUCUCUGUAGAGAGUGACUGCAUGGCAGUGACUGUUUCUCUGUAGAGACUGACUGCAUGGCAGUGACUGUUUCCCUGUAGAGACUGACUGCAUGGCAGUGACUGUGCCUAAUGGUGGGGCUCCACAGGGUGCUCCUUAAAAAGCUUUAAACAUGUACCUUUCAGAUGUCUGUUACUACAACAUUGUUCAGCUCCAGUUUGGCUCACUGUGAAAGGUAGCUAACUAAAUGAAUAAGGUCAACUUGAAACAUGCAUUCGCUUUUUCUCCAGUGUGUUGCACAAAGGUUUUGUAGAAAGGCUCGGACAGUGGGUUUGAGAGGUGUGAUAAUAACUGAUCUUAUGAAAGGUUGAACAUGUAUUAAGGCCUUCCUGUAUUACAAAAAAGUGAAACACCUACAAAGCGCCUUAUUUCAUCAACUUUGUAUUUUCUUUUGAAUCUCUAAACGUUGUGGCUUAUUACUUUCACCAACUACUUGAGUAUUUAACUGUUCUGAAAUAAAACAUGUUGCAUCAUGGGGAAUAUAUGGCAUUGACCUCAACAUAUUCAACUGGAAUUGUUGUUUGAUGUUUUGUUGGAAUGACAGCUAAUAGUCUGGUGUUUCUAACAGUGGACAGACACAGGUCAAGCAUAAGGAAGACAGGUUAGUCUGACUGUACAGGCAGACAUAAGAGACAGGUUAGUCUAACUGUACAGGCAGACAUAAGAGACAGGUUAGUCUAACUGUACAGGCAGACAUAAGAGACAGGUUAGUCUGACUGUACAGGCAGACAUAAGAGACAGGUUAGUCUAACUGUACAGGCAGACAUAAGCGACAGGUUAGUCUAACUGUACAGGCAGACAUAAGCGACAGGUUAGUCUAACUGUACAGGCAGACAUAAGAGACAGGUUAGUCUAACUGUACAGGCAGACAUAAGAGACAGGUUAGUCUAACUGUACAGGCAGACAUAAGAGACAUGUUAGUCUAACUGUACAGGCAGACAUAAGAGACAUGUUUGUGAGUUCAGGAUGAGUGUCUGUGGGUUUCUGGGAGAGAGGUGGAGGACAAUGCCUGCACAUUAAUACAAGUAUAAAUGUAUCAUUUUAAAUAUAAAACUAUAAAUAUUGUAUAGAAUGUCAUUCAUUUUUAUAAUCUUGACUGUACAUGUAAUGCAACCACCUUUCUUUUUGAAAGGAGUCUUUGAUGUUUUGUACAUGUAUGUAAAUGAUGUUUGCUUAGCAGUUGUUUGCAGCCUUCUCAAUGUAUGUUCGUCAAGGUUCAUUUCCGCGCUUCGAUACGUGUCCACGGUUUAUUAUACGUCAUGGAUUGAUGAAUUCAUAAUUGCCUGCAUAACUUUGUACAUGUUUGUGUCUCUCAUCACAGCAUAUUGUAUGGUCUGCGUUUUGUUUAGCAGUUGUACAGAUGUUACAUAUCACUGCG